AUGACGUCCGCCGCUGCGUCCGGCUCCACCGCCACCUAUUUUCUGCCGGCCUCCCUCGCGGCACUUCUCUCGAGGCCGCUGGAUGCCGCCUCCCUUCAGGCGCCGAUCGGGACACGGAGCGUCGGCUCCCUCUUCGCGCUCCCGCCGGCUGCUACUUCGCCCGGGCAGGCGCUUGUGGCCCACACCGCCGCCGCCCCGUCAACCGCGGCUGUCGCGCCCUCGGCCACUGCGCCGCUGGUGGCGGAGGACGUCACGCUGGCAGGCUUCGCGGCGUCAACCGCGGCCAUCGCGCCCUCUGUCACCGCGCCGGCUGCCCCUCUGACUGUCUCCACGAUGGUCUCACCUCAGCCAGUCUCCUCGAUGGGAUCGCAGCCGCCGCCGCCGUUUCACUUCGGCCAUCUCAUCACCAUCAAGUUGUCGUCGGACAAUUACAUCUUCUGGCGCGCGCAGGUUCUUCCGCUUCUUGGGAGUCACUAUCUGCUUGGCUAUGUCGACGGCUCUCUCCCUUGCCCUCCUGCGCUGGUUGACAGCGUGCACGGUCCGGUCUAUAAUCCGGCUCACCGUGUCUGGACAGGGCAGGAUCAGGCGAACCUCUCCUCCAUCCAGGGGUUGCUCUCUCCGGCCGUUGCUGGGCUUGUUGUCUUCGCCAAGACGUCCCACGAGGCAUGGACUAUUCUUGAGCGCUCGUUUGCGGCACAGUCGCAGGCUUGUGUAUCUGGGCUCCGUCACCAACUUGGGGAGUGUCAGAAGCUUGACUCCACUGCCACUGAGUUCUACAACAAAGUCAAGAGUCUCGCCGACACGCUGGCCUCCAUUGAACAGCCCCUCACCGACUCCGAGUUCAACUCGUUUAUUGUCAAUGGUCUUGAUGAGGAGUAUGACGCCCUAGUCGAGAUCAUCAAUGAGAGGGGCAACUCCACGCCCAUGCCAGCACACGAGGUCUUUUCACGCCUCCUGCUUACUGAGCAAUGA
rnacentral:rRNA from 1 species